AAGGCCGUCGGAGGAGGGGCCCGCGCCCGAUUAGCUAGUUGGUGAGGUCAUGGCUCACCAAGGCGAUGAUCGGUAGCCGGUCUGAGAGGACGACCGGCCACACUGGAACUGAGACACGGUCCAGACUCCUACGGGAGGCAGCAGUGGGGAAUAUUGCGCAAUGGGCGAAAGCCUGACGCAGCGACGCCGCGUGGGGGAUGAAGCUUCUCGGAGUGUAAACCCCUUUCGGCCCGGACGAAAAAUCCCGCAAGGGAUCUGACGGUACGGGUAUAAGAAGCCCCGGCUAACUACGUGCCAGCAGCCGCGGUAAGACGUAGGGGGCCAGCGUUGCUCGGAAUAACUGGGCGUAAAGGGUUCGUAGGCGGUGUGACAAGUCGGGAGUGAAAUCCUGAGGCUUAACUUCAGGACUGCCUCCGAAACUGUCAUGCUGGAGUGCGGGAGAGGCGAGUGGAAUUGCAGGUGUAGCGGUGAAAUACGUAGAUAUCUGCAGAAACACCAGUGGCGAAAGCGGCUCGCUGGACCGCAACUGACGCUGAGGAACGAAAGCUAGGGGAGCAAACAGGAUUAGAU
rnacentral:rRNA from 1 species